rnacentral:tRNA from 1 species
GCGCCCGUAGCUCAGCCUGGAUAGAGCACCGGCCUUCUAAGCCGAUGGUCGUAGGUUCAAAUCCUACCGGGCGCA